GCCUUCGUGGUGUAGUGGUCAGCGCUCUCGACUCGUAACCGAGAGGCUCGUUGUUUGAUUCCCGGCGAGGGCA
rnacentral:tRNA from 1 species